AUCCCCUCCCAAAUGGAUAUAGAACCUUCACAAAAACACAUGGAGCAAUUGUGAAAAGAAAUGGCUGAGGAUAUAAUAAAAAUGUCUGAGUUCAACAAAGCCAACGACGUCUUCAUGUGUGCCACUGAUAAAGACCUGGAUGUGGCCCAAAGACUGACUGGAUGUAAUGUUUUGCAUGCCAACGGUGGUUCCAUGUGCUGUGCCUAGGGAUGAAUACAAAAGAGUUCAACAGUGAAGAACACAAACUAGAAGUGCGGUCUUUGAUGUUGAAAAUAUAUGCUA